rnacentral:rRNA from 2 species
GGCAUAAGCCAGCUUGACUGCGAGCGUGACGGCGCGAGCAGGUGCGAAAGCAGGUCAUAGUGAUCCGGUGGUUCUGAAUGGAAGGGCCAUCGCUCAACGGAUAAAAGGUACUCCGGGGAUAACAGGCUGAUACCGCCCAAGAGUUCAUAUCGACGGCGGUGUUUGGCACCUCGAUGUCGGCUCAUCACAUCCUGGGGCUGAAGUAGGUCCCAAGGGUAUGGCUGUUCGCCAUUUAAAGUGGUACGCGAGCUGGGUUUAGAACGUCGUGAGACAGUUCGGUCCCUAUCUGCCGUGGGCGCUGGAGAACUGAGGGGGGCUGCUCCUAGUACGAGAGGACCGGAGUGGACGCAUCACUGGUGUUCGGGUUGUCAUGCCAAUGGCACUGCCCGGUAGCUAAAUGCGGAAGAGAUAAGUGCUGAAAGCAUCUAAGCACGAAACUUGCCCCGAGAUGAGUUCUCCCUGACUCCUUGAGAGUCCUGAAGGAACGUUGAAGACGACGACGUUGAUAGGCCGGGUGUGUAAGCGCAGCGAUGCGUUGAGCUAACCGGUACUAAUGAACCGUGAGGCUUAACCUUACAACGCCGAAG